rnacentral:rRNA from 1 species
UGGGGAAUUUUGGACAAUGGGGGCAACCCUGAUCCAGCAAUGCCGCGUGCAGGAAGAAGGCCUUCGGGUUGUAAACUGCUUUUGUACGGAACGAAAAGGCUCUGGUUAAUACCUGGGGCAUAUGACGGUACCGUAAGAAUAAGCACCGGCUAACUACGUGCCAGCAGCCGCGGUAAUACGUAGGGUGCAAGCGUUAAUCGGAAUUACUGGGCGUAAAGCGUGCGCAGGCGGUGCUGUAAGACAGGCGUGAAAUCCCCGGGCUUAACCUGGGAAUGGCGCUUGUGACUGCAGUGCUGGAGUGUGGCAGAGGGGGAUGGAAUUCCGCGUGUAGCAGUGAAAUGCGUAGAUAUGCGGAGGAACACCGAUGGCGAAGGCAAUCCCCUGGGCCUGCACUGACGCUCAUGCACGAAAGCGUGGGGAGCAAACA